rnacentral:rRNA from 1 species
UACGUAGGUGACAAGCGUUGUCCGGAUUUACUGGGCGUAAAGAGCGCGCAGGCGGUCGAUCAAGUCGAGUGUGAAAGCCCCCGGCUCAACUGGGGAGGGUCAUUCGAUACUGAUCGACUGGAAGGCAGGAGAGGGAAGCGGAAUUCCCGGUGUAGUGGUGAAAUGCGUAGAUAUCCGGAGGAACACCGGUGGCGAAGGCGGCUUCCUGGACCGACACUGACGCUGAGGCGCGAAAGCUAGGGGAGCAAACGGG